CUUGUGGUAUGAAACUCACUCUCAUCACGCUCUGCACGUUAGUCUAAUUAGUUUUUCAAUUCGAUUGAGAUUAAUGGAUUGUGUUUCUGGAUAUGCUUCGGACGCCGUCGAAAUUGACGUUGUCGGUGGUUGUUUGGGCUUCCUCUGUUUAACUUCUGCGUCCUAACCACCACUUGGGUCUUGGUCGAGAUAAAUCUGCAGUCUUGGGUUGAGUUGAUCAACUCAGAAUCGACUAGGCUGACUCCGGUUUGCUGUGUUCUUCGACAGAGAGCCGACCUGCAAUUUGGGAUUUUGUUUGUGAUCGAGUUUGAUGGCAAGGUUAGUUAGAAUCCAUUGACAGUUCUGGGAACUUGAUUGUAUAGUUUGCUUCUGAAGUUGAAUGCCUGUGUUUACAAGUUUACUGUGAAGUUGUGUUGAGAAUGGUGGAUUGAAUUGGUAUGGGUUCGUUUCUGGUUGGUACUUACUGUUUUGGUUGCGUUGAUUUAAAUCGGAAGAGAUGUUGGUUCUACGGAACCAGGCCAUCAGGUAAAUCGCACGUUGUUUUCUAA
rnacentral:lncRNA from 1 species